rnacentral:rRNA from 1 species
GGGAGGCAGCAGUAAGGAAUAUUGGGCAAUGGUCGAGAGACUGACCCAGCCAUGCCGCGUGCAGGAAGACGGCCUUAUGGGUUGUAAACUGCUUUUGUAAGGGACUAACCUACUUCACGAGUGGAGUACUGCAUGUACCUUACGAAUAAGCAUCGGCUAACUCCGUGCCAGCAGCCGCGGUAAUACGGAGGAUGCAAGCGUUAUCCGGAAUCAUUGGGUUUAAAGGGUGCGUAGGCGGGCUGGUAAGUCAGUGGUGAAAUACCUGUGCUUAACAUGGGAGCUGCCAUUGAUACUGUUAGUCUUGAGUUUAGUUGACGUUGGCGGAAUGUGUCAUGUAGCGGUGAAAUGCAUAGAGAUGACACAGAACACCGAUAGCGAAGGCAGCUGACGAAACUAAAACUGACGCUGAUGCACGAAAGCGUGGGGAUCAAACAGGAUUAGAUACCCUGGUAGUCCACGCUGUAAACGAUGAUCACUAGCUGUAUGCGAUACACUGUAUGUGGCUAAGGGAAACCGAUAAGUGAUCCACCUGGGGAGUACGUCGGCAACGAUGAAACUCAAAGGAAUUGACG